rnacentral:rRNA from 1 species
AACGAACGCUGGCGGCGUGCCUAACACAUGCAAGUCGAGCGCGAAAGGGACUUCGGUCCCUGGAGAGCGGCAGACGGGUGAGUAACACGUGGGUAACCUGUCCCUAGGUGGGGGAUAACCACUCGAAAGGGUGGCUAAUACCGCAUAAGACCACGGCCUUGCGGGGUUGAGGUCAAAGGCGCAAGUCGCCAAGGGAGGGGCCCGCGGCCGAUUAGCCAGUUGGUAGGGUAACGGCCUACCAAGGCAGUGAUCGGUAGCUGGUCUGAGAGGAUGAUCAGCCACACUGGUACUGAGACACGGACCAGACUCCUACGGGAGGCAGCAGUGGGGAAUAUUGGACAAUGGGGGAAACCCUGAUCCAGCGACGCCGCGUGUGUGAAGAAGGCCUGCGGGUUGUAAAGCACUUUCGGUGGGAACGAAAUAUGCCGGGCUAAUACCCCGGUAGGCUGACGUUACUCAAUGAAGAAGCACCGGCUAACUCUGUGCCAGCCGCCGCGGUAAAAC